GAGCCGCCCCGCCGCAGCCGGGCUGCCUGCAGGUUUCCUGAAGCCGCAGUGCUGCGAUGCCCCGGCAUGCUUCAUGGCAGAGGUCCCCGGCCACCCCGCUGGAGCGUGGCGCUCCCCUGUAGGGAGCUGGGAUCAAAUUUGAGUUCCUGUUGAAGGUAAGCUUUCCAGAAAAUCUGAAGUCUCUGUGAUACCACUUUUCAGAGCAUCUCUGUUCUUCUCAUAUGGCACACAUGGAAAAGGGUUGGUCUGCAAACCAGGAGAGCGUCAGAAGAAGCAGAGGAGUUAAGGUGCUGGAACCACGAGACAAGAAUUUGGAGUCCCUUAUAAGCAAUUGGGUAGUGCUGUCCUCAUCAAUUGUUAAUUGUCAAAAAGGCUUGUCAGAUGCUCGGUAUUGCUUCAGGACAUGCUGAGCUUUGCUGAGGGAUGCUCCUGCUGGAGUAACAAUGAGCAAAUGGCAUAAAGACCGGUAGCUGGUAGCAUACCGGUUUACCAGUCAUGGGGCUGGUUGUUAGCUUUUUUUUUUCUUUUUUUUUUUUUUUUUUUUUUCCACUUUAAAACACAGAUUUAGAUUUAGCUUAUUUUACCAGUAUUUAAUACACUUUACAGAAAGUGUGUGUAGCCAAAGAUCGCUAGGGUAAAUCCAGCACAACUAAGAAGCAUCAGAAGUUGUGAGAAUGUCCUACGCCACAUGCAACUGUCAGUCAGUGCUAGAGCUGACUCUUCUUUUGCUAAACUGCCUAAAGUAAGCUUGGUAAUGAACUCUGUAAGAACACUUACAACAAAAGAGAAGUCUAGUUUUAAGAUCUAAUAAUCUUUAAUCACCUGAGAAAGAAUUCAGUGAUGGACUCCACUUCUUUGCUUUAAUACAGGAGACCUCAGGGCACACUUAAAUUAAACAAAUGACAGA